UGGGGAAUAUUGGACAAUGGGCGAAAGCCNGAUCCAGCAAUGCCGCGUGUGUGAAGAAGGUCUUCGGAUUGUAAAGCACUUUCGACGGGGACGAUGAUGACGGUACCCGUAGAAGAAGCCCCGGNUAACUUCGUGCCAG
rnacentral:rRNA from 1 species